GAUGCAUUAUUCCAACCUUUAAUAAAUGGCAUUGCUGUAGUAUCUCCAAAACUGAAGUAACUACAUAAGAAUUAUAUUCCUCACCUUCACUUAGCCAAAAAAACCAUAUCACAUUGAUGAGCUUUACAUAUAAGAAAAUUGAAAAUAAAAUCUGCUUGAAAAGAAUAAAUAUCUUGUGCUCACCUGGGAUUUCGGUAUGGCUGUCUGGUUUGUUACGUAUAAAUGAACUGAGCUGACUUGAGCUUUGAAGGGCUUAGGCUUGGCUUAUCUUGAGCUUGAGCGCAGUUUGUUUAGAAAAU
rnacentral:misc_RNA from 1 species